UACGGAGGGUGCGAGCGUUGUCCGGAAUCACUGGGCGUAAAGGGCGCGUAGGCGGUCAGCACAAGUCAGUUGUGAAAUCUCCGAGCUUAACUCGGAAAGGUCAACUGAUACUGUGCGACUAGAGUGCAGAAGGGGCAACUGGAAUUCUUGGUGUAGCGGUGAAAUGCGUAGAUAUCAAGAGGAACACCUGCGGCGAAGGCGGGUUGCUGGGCUGACACUGACGCUGAGGCGCGAAAGCCAGGGGAGCGAACGGG
rnacentral:rRNA from 1 species